rnacentral:lncRNA from 1 species
UCAACUGAGGGGCUCUCCAGGCCUUCUGAGCUUCCUGCUGGGUCCCACCCAUCUGAACCUGGAGCUGCUGCUGCACCCACCACUGGGAAAUAUGUGCCUAGGUUCAAGCGAGAGAGAGCCGUAGGCUCUGGACAAGCCCCACCUUCAGAAUCUGAUCACUGGGGUAGUGGCAGUCAGGCCCCACCUUCACAAUCUGAUCGCUGGGGUAGUGGCAGCAGGGCACCACCUCAGGAUCCUGAACGUGUAGGCAGUGGUGCUAGCAGGCCCCUCCCUCAUGAUUCCGAUCGUAUGGGUGGUAGCAGGGCUCCUCAGGAGCCUGAUAAAUGGGG